rfam:Planktomarina temperata RCA23, complete genome.
GUUUUUAUGGGCAACUGAUUUGUAAUCAGUAGGUCCGCGGUUCGAGUCCGUGUGGGGGCA